UUGUCCCUUAAAUUAGGACUAGUAUGAAUGGCACCACGAGGGUUUAACUGUCUCCCCCUUUUAAUCAAUGAAAUUAACCUUCCCGUGAAGAAACGGAAAUAAAACUAUAAGACGAAAAGACCCUAUGGAGCUUUAAACUUAUUAUCACUUAUCUUUAAAUACAACAAAUUACAUGAUAAAAAUGCUCUUCAAUAGUUUUCGGUUGGGGCGACCCUGGAGAAAAACAAAUCCUCCAGAUUGAAAAUAAUAACCCUUAUAUAAGAAUCACAAUUCAAAUAAACAAAAAUUUGACAAAACUGACCCAGAAUUAACUGAUCAAUGAACUAAGUUACCCUAGGGAUAACAGCGCAAUCCAUUUUAAGAGCCCAUAUCGACAAAUGGGUUUACGACCUCGAUGUUGGAUCAGGAUAUCCUAGCAGCGCAGCCGUUGCUAAUGGUUCGUUUGUUCAACGAUUAAUACCCUACGUGAUCUGAGU
rnacentral:rRNA from 1 species